CCCACACCAGCGCAGUUCUUGUGUUCUUCGCUUCUCGUUCAGCUUACUCAGCUCGAUCGAUCGAUCUCACCGUGCGUUUCGCGCAUCUCCGUGUCGUGGUUGGUUAGUGUGUUUGAGAUUAAGUUAGCAAUGGCGGCCGCUACCAUGGCGCUGAGCAGCUGCUUCGCCGUCGCCGCCGGGGCGCCGUCGCAUGUCGUCGUCGGUGCCGGCCGUGCUGCGGUGUGCUUCCCUCGCCGACGUGCCGUGGCCGUCGUCGUCAGGGCCCAGUCCGAGGUGAGGAUACAUGCAUGGUUGAUUUGGUUUCACUAUCUGUGUUAUGGUGAUUGGUUGCUCGUGUGCUAACUUGGGACGUCGUUCGAUCUGCAGCCGGAUGUGGAGCCGACGGAGCAGCAGCAGGAGGCGGCCGCGUCGUCUCCGGCGACCCCGAGCCCGGCGGCCAAGCUGCCCAAGGCGGCGAAGAAGCCGAGCACGAAGCUGUCGGACGUGCUGGCGUUCAGCGGGCCGGCGCCGGAGCGGAUCAAUGGCNNN
rnacentral:lncRNA from 1 species